rnacentral:tRNA from 1 species
GGUUGUAGCUCAGUGGCAGAGCGCUUGCCUAGCAUGUUUGAGGUACUGGGUUUGAGUCUCAGCACCA